UACGGUAGGGGCGAGCGUUGUCCGGAUUUACUGGGCGUAAAGAGCGCGCAGGCGGUCGUUCAAGUCGCGUGUGAAAGCCCCCGGCUCAACUGGGGAGGGUCACGCGAUACUGAUCGACUCGAAGGCAGGAGAGGGAAGUGGAAUUCCCGGUGUAGUGGUGAAAUGCGUAGAUAUCGGGAGGAACACCAGUGGCGAAGGCGACUUCCUGGCCUGUUCUUGACGCUGAGGCGCGAAAGCUAGGGGAGCAAACGGGG
rnacentral:rRNA from 1 species